UUACGGUGAGAUUAUGUAAUCCCGAUAAAUGCGUCGUUCUCUCUUCUUCCAUUAUUCACGUAAUUAAUCAGCUUCAUCUCUCUCUUCGUUCCUCAUUCCAAAAUUUUGACUUCUCACCUUCUUUCUCCUUAAUCGGUGGCGAGUGAAAGAAUCAAUUCCCCUCAGCGGUGAUACUCGAAUCCUCGGUGACGGCGUCAUGAGUUCCAGUCGAUGACGUGUUCCAGUUCCGUCGGAUUCAACGAAAGAGGGGUUUUCUUGGUUUUUAUCUCAAGUCAAAGGGACUGCGCGCACUGUCUGAAGUAAUAAUCUAGCAGUGUAGAACGCACGACUUGCCUUAGAAGACAACCAAGACCACUAAUGACUCGGCAGUAUUCCUGAUGAGACACAUGGAGACUUACAUGGGUAACCCUCCUAAUUUAAUGACUAUUGGUCUUCAAGGAGUUAGUGUGAUGAUUCUGCAGAUUUUGAGGGGGAGGUAUUGCAAGACCAUGCUCCUUGCACCGUUCAACAUUGCCAAAGAAAUGUUCACGUUCUACAUGAGUAAUUACAUUAACGUGACUCCUAACUUCAGAACAGAUUAUGCGAAACUUCAGAACAGAUUAUGCGAAACUUCAGAACAAAUUAUGCGAGACAAGUGAAUGGCAUGUUGAACAAGGCUCCCAACAACGAGCAACACAAUGAGCCGGCGAGGAAGAAAAGCAAGUUGAAUUGAGUUGAUUUGGAAUUGACUAUAUGUUUUUUAAUGUUAAUGGUAGUUUUUGGAUAUUGAUAUUGGAAUUUUUUUUGCUUGAGAAGCAGUCACUUUUGUUAAAUGAACUAUCAACAUUAAAAAUUUGUUUCAAGUUAUGAAACAUGGUAUUGGCAUGGUGUUGAUUUGUUACA